AAGGAAAUCAGGAUGGCACAUUGGGAUAACAAACAUAUGACAGGGAGGGGCAAAGAGAGGAGAAGAAAGUGGAAGAGGAUAUGAUGAAGGGCAAUACAUAAUUAACAGUUGUAACCAUGAACGUGAAUGGAAAACUCAUGCAUAAAACAGAAGAGGACAAAAAAAGUGGAUUAGAAAUCAGAAUCCAGCAAUAUGUUAUUCACAAGAAACACACUUAAAUGUUUACAUAGAGUUAACGUUGGCUAAUUUAGCACAAAGCAGGAGAAAACGGACAAAAGCUCCCUUCCUGUACAUCAGAAGAAAUGAGACAUGCUGGGGGCAGCUAAACAAACAUGAAUCUCUGACCUUCUCCUUUAACUAGUGCUCCAGCUCCGUGAGCUCAUUAAGAGGAAAUCUGUUAGCAUUCACUGCAUGUUGGCAGAUGACGAGUGCAGAGCACAUGCUGUCAUCUCAACAGGAGAUCAAGAAAACCCAGUUCCUACAUGACCCAUCAUUGCUAAAUAGAAAAUUCCCAUAGUUACUUGUGUUAUGUAAAACUGCUUGAUGUACAUUAAAAGGAAACUUUUGA